rnacentral:rRNA from 1 species
ACACAUGCAGUCGAGCGGAUGAGGUAGCUUGCUACUGGAUUCAGCGGCGGACGGGUGAGUAAUGCUUAGGAAUCUGCCUAUUAGUGGGGGACAACGUUCCGAAAGGGGCGCUAAUACCGCAUACGUCCUACGGGAGAAAGCAGGGGACCUUCGGGCCUUGCGCUAAUAGAUGAGCCUAAGUCGGAUUAGCUAGUUGGUAGGGUAAAGGCCUACCAAGGCGACGAUCUGUAGCGGGUCUGAGAGGAUGAUCCGCCACACUGGGACUGAGACUCGGCCCAGACUCCUACGGGAGGCAGCAGUGGGGAAUAUUGGACAAUGGGGGGAACCCUGAUCCAGCCAUGCCGCGUGUGUGAAGAAGGCCUUUUGGUUGUAAAGCACUUUAAGCGAGGAGGAGGCUACCUAGAUUAAUACUUUAGGAUAGUGGACGUUACUCGCAGAAUAAGCACCGGCUAACUCUGUGCCAGCAGCCGCGGUAAUACAGAGGGUGCGAGCGUUAAUCGGAUUUACUGGGCGUAAAGCGUGCGUAGGCGGCCAAUUAAGUCAAAUGUGAAAUCCCCGAGCUUAACUUGGGAAUUGCAUUCGAUACUGGUUGGCUAGAGUAUGGGAGAGGAUGGUAGAAUUCCAGGUGUAGCGGUGAAAUGCGUAGAGAUCUGGAGGAAUACCGAUGGCGAAAGCAGCCAUCUGGCCUAAUACUGACGCUGAGUACGAAAGCAUGGGGAGCAAACAGGAUUAGAUACCCUGGUAGUCCAUGCCGUAACGAUGUCUACUAGCCGUUGGGGCCCUUGAGCUUUAGUGG